AAAAAAAACCAUCAAAGAUCUAUAAGAAACCUGGGGGAAUUAAAAAAUAAUAAUCUCAGCCUGAGGAAGGACUUUCUAAGUAUGAUCCGAAUUUUGCUUUCUAAGUAAAAUCCAAAGGCCAUAAAAGGAUAAGUCUCACUUCCCCAACAAAACUCCUCCAUGGCAGAAUCAAAAACAACCAAUUUGGGGAAAAUAUCUUCAACUCAUAGCACAGAGGUAUGAUUCCAUCACAUACAAAUAUACAAAUAGCUCCUACAAAUCAAAAAGGACAAAAACCACCCCCCACCCCCCCAAGAAAAAGGAGCCAAGGAGAUAAGUAGAUUAGUCAAAGGAAAAACAAAUGGCAUAGACACAAAAAGAUACUCAACCUCAUUCAUAUAAAACUAAGUUUACACUGUAGCCAGGUGUAGUGGCUCACGCCUGUAAUCUCAGCUGAUCAGGAAGCAGAGGCUGGAGGAUGGCGUGAGGCCAGGAGUUUGAGAUUAGCCUGGGCAACAUAGCUAGACUUUGUCUCCCUAAACAAAACAAAACAAAAUAAAACCCACACUGUGAUCCUAUUUUCACUGCUCAGGUGAGCAAAACCUAAAAGUGUGAUAUGAUGCUGUGAUGGUGAGGGGUGGGGAACAGACCCUCACACCACAAUGUGAGGUGUCCACAGAUACACCAUCUAAAGAUGUCCAUCAGACCACAGCUAUCAAAAUGCCACACACACAUCCCUUUGACCUGGUAUUUCCACUUCCAGAAAUGUACCCUGCAGUUUUAUCCACAUCCUCGUGACACAUCCAAGGUUUACCGCUGCACUGCUUGUAACGGCAACAGGUCAGUUACAGUCUAAAUAGAGGACUGGCCAAAUAAAUUAUGGGCCACCCCUGCUAGAGAAACUAUGCGGCGAAAGAAUGAGGAAGCUCUUUAGAAGCUGAUAUACAGAAUAGAUGACAAAGGGAAACAGUGAGGUGCAGGAUAGUGUGUAAAAUAUGCGUGUCCACACGUAUUUGCUGGGACACCCAUAAAACAUCUAGAAGGACACCCAGGAAGCUGACGACAUGGACUCCCUCCGCGAGGGAAGCGGGUGGCUGGCUCAGAGGGAGGCUUUUGUCUAUAUACCCCUUCCUUCCUCCGAGUGUUGGAUAACAUGAAUGUGUUCCCUUGUCUAAAGAUAAAUAUUUAAAAGAAAAAAUAUUUUCACAUCGUAAGCAUCAUGCUAAACGGCAACAGAUCCUGGGCUAUAGGACAGAAGCAAUAGGGAGGGGUGGGGACUGCGGUGACCUGGAGACAGACAUCCCUUUAAAAGAGGCAGUCAUUCAGCUCUAGUCAUGGCUGCAGUACAGGCACACAGGCCUAUGUUACCAGAGCCUCUGUUUUUGUUUUUUUCAAGAGAUACUAGAAAUCCAGAUUUUAAUGCAAAUCUCAUUUCUAAGUUCUUCAUUAAAAAAGAAAUUAUGCUAGCUAAAAAUAACCAAAUCAGAGUGUUUGGGAUCCUGGUCCUAGAUAGUGAGAACAGACCCCUGGUCACCAGGUCCAGCUCCCAGUGAAAAAGCAAGGCCAGAGAGGGAAGGAAACACCCAAGACCACACAGCUGAUGGGCCUCAAGCGGGAACCCCAUUCUGUAUUUUUUGUUUCCAUGUCAUCCUACUUUAAUGGUGGUAAGGGAGACAGACACGGCGAGAUAAUGGUGGUGAAGCUGCAGAGGCCGGGUUGGGGCAUGGUGAUGGUGGUGGUCAGAAGAGGCUGCUGGGAAGAAGGUCAAGCCAGAGUUGACAGUCUUGCUCCACGGGAGCUGGCCAAAGGAGUGGGUGUCAUUUUGGAGAGCGAGACCAGGAAGGCAGCACAGCCGUGGCCAAGGCCUGGGGGCCUAAGAGAGCAUACCGACUUUCUGACAGGGCCAUGGUGGGUGAACGUCCUCGGGGGUAAAUGGCAUUCUCUGCCCGCGACCUGCCCCGCAAAGGCUGGGGAGGCAUCCUACUCACACUUGCGCAGCUCCAGGCUCUUGCUCGGGCGGGCCAGGUGUUGGCCCGGGGGGUUCUGGGUCCUCUGCAGACAGGCCAGCAUGGCUGAGCUGGGGGUCCCCAGUGGGGCACGCUCUGCGGCAGGGUCCCUGCAGGAGGAAGAUGGGGUGCUCUGUCACUUGGGGGCUGCUCCAUGUUCGCCUCCCCCCAUUCCCCACUGGGAGUCUCCCUGCAACCCUGAAGAACAUCAGAGACUCUCAAAGCAGACACCCUUUUCCCUCAUUUGACCAAUGAGGGGACCAAGGCCUGAGGCAUCAGGAGGCCCAUCCGUGGCCUCAUGGGAAGGGACAAUCCAGGGCUCUUGAGUGUGGGCUGGGCUGAUGGAUCAGACAUGCCUUGGCCCUGCUGGCGUAUGGGUCACCUGCUCUGGGGCCUGCCUUGAUGCCCCCAACUGGGUCAGAUCCUCACUCCCGCCAUGCCCCGCAGUAGGCUGUCCUUCCAGCUGGUGGUGGCCCCCUGUAAGCAAGUCAGCCUGAAGACCCCACCUGGUCAUCCUGGGCGUCUACACAGAGGGGUGCUCGGGAAAUGCCAGUGGGUACGGGGUGUCCCAGCUUACUGCAGUACUGGUCUGUCCUCCCGCCCAGAGUAUCCUCACAGCCCCCUGCACCCUGAGCCCAGCCCUCAUGGGCCACCAAGGCUGCUCUGACCUGAGAUCCCUGUCGCUGCCUAAGUUCCUUACCCUGAAUGGGAAGGGCAGAGGCCUGUGCCCCUCAGGGCAGCAGCUCAGAUGUGGCUGCACACAGGCCCGUGUGGUACCUCCCCCCACAGCCAGAGCCUGACAUUCACAUGGACACUCGCCUUCAGCUUCCCCAAACCCACUCUCCUGCAGAGAACGUUUCAGGACGCCCAGGCACAUUCCUGAGAGUCCGAAGCCCCUGAGCGGCAGGGUCAGAGUGCGUCUGCUUGUGAGGCCCCCAUGGGAGCGUGGUGGUGAGAGCUUACCUAGAGGUCCCUUCCUCCCUUCUUGCUAAGGAGAAGGCAGGUCUCAGGGUAAGUGCAACCUUGGACACCCCUGAUGUCCAUCCACCUGGGCACCCUGUCCCCGCCACCUCCUGACCACCCCCCCCAGUCCUGAGCAGCCAAGCUAGGUCACCUCAAUCUUCAUGUUGGUUUUAAAAAAGAAAGCAGAGGGGGUGUGUGCUGAAGGGGAAGAAAGGGAAGUUAUUUAAUACUGAACAGGUGUCUGGAGUCCUAAAUUCUGCCGCUUUCUUCUAAUAAUGAAGUAUUCAUGAGGAAAAGCCUUUUUUCACUACUUUCUUAAGAUACUAAUUUCACAACAAGCUCCUUGUUACGGCGCAAUUAUUCCAAUCUUGUAUUUCCCGGAGACGGUUGCAGCCUCCCGUCUGUCCUGGCCUCUCGGUAAAUGAAAGACAAUCGCGUAACCACCUUUCAUUAUGCCCUAUUUUACUUUCAGCAAAGGUACCCUGAAAGAAAUGAUUUCCUCUGAAAGGGACUUUUAUUCAGUUUCAAAACCAAUUUUCUCCUAUUACUGUCUCAAAAAAAAAAAAAAAAAAAAAAGAGCGAGAGACAGAGAGAAAGUGGGGGAUGGAGGGGAGGGAGGUGAUUCUCACCGGCCCCCCCAGUCGCCAGCCUUAACACAGAGACGCAAUAAAAGCUGCAGUAUCCACUUCCCGGCUUUGAUUUCUGGUAAUUUUAAAAUAGGCCAUUACAAUCAGGCAGAAAUUAUACAGUUUAAAAAGGGAAUGAAGUGGGGCUUAUUGCAGGGAUGAAAGUCCUUGACUGCAGGAAGGCAGUGCUGCUCUUCUCCUCGGGGACGUGGGACGUGAGCAGGUGGCGGGAGCAGGCCUGACUCGAGCCCACCAUCACCACAGCCUUGGACACCAGCCCUGGAGGACACGCUGUGCAUGUGGACAGGGAGGGCUGGGUGUGCACACACACUCUGGUACACACUCACCUAUGUACAUGUGUGUUUGCUGCAUGGCAUGUUCCUCUGCACUUACAGGCACCCUCUCACGCACACACAGGUGGUCUAUGGGGAUUCACAAUCGUGUGCAACCUGGAAGGUAAGAGGCCUGUGACGGCCUCCCUCACCCUUGCCCAGCCUCUUUCUGUGGCUCCUGCUCCAGUGCAGAGUCCAUCUCUCGCCGCUGACAUAUGGGUUAGAGGAAAGGAGGGAGAUCCAGAGAAAGCCAGUCCAAGACCUCUCUCUCCACAGAUGGGAAACUCAAGCCACAGGGGACAGUGGCCUGCAAGGGCUGCCAGGCAGGGAGUGGCUGGGUGCACUGACCCCCUCACCACUAAGCUUGGCCGCACCCAGGCCAGUAAGGAGGGAGAUCAGAGGCUGGUGCCCUGUGGAAACCUGUGUUGGAAGCCUGGAACCUCCCUGACUCCCAGCACAUGCUGUGUGACCCCGGCUGGGCUAAUGACCCUCUCUGGCCUGUAACAGUGGCUCCAUGAUCCCUAUGGGUACUCCCAGGUCACUUUCUUCCAGAGUCGUGGCCAUGCCCAGUCCUAUCUCCAGCCUUUUACCCGGUGCCAGCGGUCCAGAAGUCCAGCCCUUCUCUAUGUGCCCUAGUGCCCCUUGGGCCAUACAUUCCACAUGCUUUGCAGGUGAAAAAGGGUGGGCUGGGGGCUGCAGUUGUUGGGGGAGGGGCAGGUCGCCUAUUCCGGAGCCUCCUGGUACCCCAUCAGCUCCCUUCCCAGGGGGGCUUUGGUUGUCAGGUGCUCUUAUGGUGGAUGCUAGGCAGUUCUGGAGCUGAGAGAGGUCACCCGACUGAGCUCAGGGCGCGGGGGUUUCCAGGGUGCAAUGGUGUCCAAGUGUAGGCCUCAGCUUUGGCUCAGCUUCACCAGGCAGUUGCCUGCAUCCUCCCAUUCCUUGCUUCUGGAGGGCUACAGGCAGCCUGAGAGAUGCUCUUCACUUGAAGAAGAGGGACGUUUUUCUCUCUGUACCCCCAGUUCCCCCAACUCACUGCCCAUUCUUCCAGGAACCCUGUGUCCUGCCAUUGGGGGCACGUGGCAGGGUAGUGGGGUGUCCUAGAAGGGAAGUGGAGAGGGGACCACCACCUCCAACUCCUGUAUCAUCCCUAUCAUCUGCAACCAAGACAGUCAAAUCCCCCUCCUUGGCCUUAAAACCUCUCUGGCCCCAGCGUGGAGCCCAGCCCUCUUUGCCCACCACACCUCAUCUCUCUCAUGGCUACCCCUGGCCCUCCUUCCAGCCAGGCUGCCUCACACCUCCAGUCCUCUGUCCCUGCUGGUUCUCCUGCCUAUGGCACCAUGACCCUGAUCCAUUCGAACUCAGAUCCGUCUUCAGACCCUUGCUCACCCGUCCCUUCCUCUAGAUAUCCAGCAUUUCUGCUCUAAUCACAUCGAGGUGUAACUGCCAACUUUCACAUCUCUCUCCCUCCACUGGACUGUGUUUCUUAGGGGUAGGGACCGUGUGUUGUUUGUCUGUCUCUCCCCAGUGCCUGGCAAGAAUAAUCAUUUAAUAAAAAGUGUUGAAUGAAUGGCUGAAUCAAUGAAUUGGUUAUUGUCCAAUAAAGUGACCUAGGCCCAGAGAAGCCAAGUGUCCCAAACAAGGUCACACAGCAAGGCAGGGACAGGACUGAGGCAUAUGCCUAAGACACUCAUGUUCUUUCUGUGACCCUACCUUGCCCCCUCCCUGCCUGGCAUCAUCCCAUCUGCCGGAGGCCAGCCUCUCAGAGCCCCCACCUGGACUCAUUACCCCCCUGGCCAAGCACCAUCCAGGGAGUGCUGUUCAUUUUGAAACCCUAUCUGCAAAUCAGACUGUUUAUAAGCUCAAGGUCUUUUGUGACUUUAAUAAAAAAGGAGGGGAGCAGGGAGGGGGAAAAUGUCGCAUGCCUCAAUGAUUAGAAUGCUUGGCACCUUCCCUGACAUGGGGGCUGAUAAGACGCCUUAUCUCGGAGACACCCGAGGAAAAGGUCCCCUCCACCAGAUAACGCCCCCAGCUGUCGAUGUGUCCUUUCAUAGCUGAGGAUUUAGAUAAAGGAAAUGUGACAGGGGAGGGGAAAGGAAGGAAGGAACUUUCCAGGUCCGAGGAGGAAUUGAGUCUGUGAUGCUCGCCUUAGCAGAACAAUGAAUGAGAGAAGGCUGUCUCUAUUUUUAUGGAAAGAAUAGGGAAUUGGGGCCUUGGGCCCUGCCUGCCUUUUGUCAUCUUGCCCUUGCCUGUCUGGCUGCAGGGGGCAUCAGGGAGCCCACGGGUCAGUGGGAGGGGAAGCUCUGAAACAGCAACAUGCAAUUGGGGGCUCAGUACAGUCAGCAUGUAUUGACUGACCUCGUGCCAAGCCCAUGCACCUCCUCCUCGUGGCCUCUGUGGCCCCAUUUCACAGCUUAGGAAAUGGCCAGAGAGAGGGGAAGCAAUUUGUGCAAGGUCACACAGCUUUUAGAUAGCACAGCCCAAGGAUGCCAGCGCCAGUCAGACCCUCAGCCCCACACUGUCCAGCAGUUCCAUUGUGGUUGGGCGCCCGUCAGCCCUCAGCUCCCAGUCAGCUGGGCAGGAAGGGAUGGAAGCAAGGGUCUACUUCUCCCCAGGACCCAAAUCCAUUUUGAUUCUACUGUGGGAGGGAUCACAGAAGUAAGGGGUGAGAGGAGGGGAAGGGCUCCCAGAGUCCACUUAUUCAUCCCAUAAACAUUCAAGGAGCGCAACUCAUGAGGCCGGCAUUGGGCAGAACAACACUGAGGUGAGUAAAGCCCAGGCCUUGCUUCUUACCCACCCAUGCAUUCAUUUAGGCAGCAAACACUUCCCAAACAUCUUUUGGGUGCCAGCCCUGUGCCAUGUACUGGGAGAACAGAAAUUACUCAAAGCGUCCUGCCAGAAAGGAACAUCUAGCCAGAACUGACCUCCCAUUAAAAUGAAUGAUCUUGACCUCUCUCUGCCUCCAGCAUUUUCCUGAUGUGGCAGGCAUCUGGAACUCUCCCUCACGUGUCCGCAGGUCAGCAGUCUGCCCCUUGCCAGCCUGGACUGACCCCAAGGCAGAAUAGGAGGACACACCUGACUUCACAGCAGGGCCCUGAGGCUGUGACCCCGGGAAAGCCAUGGGCUGUGCCCCUCUGAGCCCCCAUCUCCUCCUCCACCUCCAAUCCCUAGAGCUACCUACCUGGCUUCUGUGGCUCCAUUCAAGGCCAAAGCCUAGCUGUGACCUGGAGGGGAAGGUCAUGCCAGGCCCUUCCUGGUGUCCAACAGGACUAGUUCAGAGAAGAGAGCUGGCUCCAGAGGACUCUGGGUUGUACCUGCCAGGCAGGGGCACAGUGAUAACUGGGGCUCUCACUGGCUGGGUGACCUGAAGAAGUCAUAGCACCUCUCUGAGUCUGUUUCCCAAAUGAACCUUUAUGGGGAAUGGAUCAGCUGAUAGUACGAGGGCCAUCUAGCUUGGACAUAAGAGGAUGCAACCAUUUAUUUUUCAAACUUAAUCCAGCUGUGUGCAAGGCGUGGGGCGGUCCCUGACCUGUGGGCACACAAAGGGGCUCUAGAUGUAGCCCUUGUCUUUGAGGGACUUAGAAUCUCAAGCAGGGACAAGACAGGAAGCUGGCAAAACUCGGCAGUUCAUGCAAGGAGUAGAGUAGAUGGUUCAGACUCUGAAUUUCCUUUCAGGAAAUGAAUGAGAUGCCGGCCACUCCUCAGGGCCUUGCAGCCUUCCUGGGGGUGGUGGCAGGAUAGGUGGGUGGUGAGGGAGCCCUCUCGCAGUUCUCACCUCCAUCCCUUUGGCUGUAAUUCAAGUCUCUUCAUGCUGCCUGGCCACGCAGCCUGCCCCAAAGGCAGACAGGAGCCUGAAGUGGUGGUGGGAGGCCCAGGGCCCAGGGAAGAGAAUGAAUGCUGGACUGGGAAUACUGGGGUCAGACCCUGGCGAUGUGGCCCUAAAUGGGUCACUUCUCUGUGUUGGUCCCUAGCACCAUGAGCUGAACAGGAAGAAAGCCCCAGAAAGUCCAGUCCUCUCUAAAUAGCGAGGGGCAGUAAACCUGCUUCUGGCCAGAAGAGUGGAGGGACCCUUGCCCAGCCCAGGAAUGUCCUCAGGAAUCUAGGUGCAAGCUUCCCCCAACCCCCUGUGGGGAUCCCACGAUAGGAAGAUCCACUGUCUGUCUCUUUCCUCUCCUCUGUCUACAUCCCUGUCCCUAGCUCCAUCUGCCUCCUGUCCUGAUGCCUCCCUUCUCCUUCCUGCUUUCUUUCUCCCUUCCUGACCCCUCUCCCUUGCUCCUUCCUCUCUCUCCCAUCCCACUUGUCUCAGCAAGGCAGCCAGAGUGGAAGCCCAUCCCCACCUCCCUCCUGCAGCUCCCUCCCCCAUCUCUGUUCUGAGCCGGAGGCCUUCCAAGGGACCCUGUUAAUAAUUAAAUGUUAAUCUAAAAAGCAAUUUGAGCUGCGGCUAGGCAGAUCUGGUUAGAGAUUACAUUAGCAUGGAGGAGGCGAGGGUAAUUUUCUUUAACCCCUCUCCUGAUCUCUCAAGCCGGGGAUUCUUCAAGUCACACCGGCACUGCUGAUUAAACUGGCACAGGGCUUGGCUGUGGAUAAGGGGCCUGUGAAAAGUGAUUAUUUCCCACUGCCAUUUGGGCCUCAGCACCAGAAGGGGAUUUUUACUUUUUUUUUUUUUUUUUUUUUUAAGGUUGGGGUUGGGGAGGGACUGUCCCCUUGAAUAAGAGGCCUCAUCUUCUGCCAGGAUUACCACUGUAUCCACCCCCUGCCCACCAGCAGGCCAGGGGCUCUCUAAAAUGCUGCGAAUCUGGUCACAGAGCAUACCUGGCUCUUUGGUUCCCAGGACAAAGAUGCCAAUCCCCUGCCUGGCUCCAACACCCCUCCAUUGUGCCUGGUUCUGGGCUGGGCACUGGAGCCAGAGAUGCCAGUAGUUCUGAGCCAAAGGGGAGACCAAAAAGUAAAGUGACAAUCACCAGUUCUGGCUGGCAGCCAGAAUCCUGAGGUGGGCUUCCCUCUGCACAAGCCUCUCACCGGCACGCUUGCAGGCUUUUGCCCAUGCAAUCCCAAGAGCCAGAAAGGGCUUUUGAGCAAUUCUUCCUGGCUCUCUACCCCUUAAAACUCUACUCGACCUUCAGUUGGAGUCCAGGUUCCUGAGGGCUUCUCCAAGACAUACAAGGUGCAUAAUAAAUGUUUGAUGAAUCAUCAAAUGACUGGAGUCCCAUGUGGCUCUCCUUGAUCCUUCCUCUAUGGGUUCAAGGUGCUAUAGCUGAGCACAGGGGCCCUCAGGAAAAUGUCUCCUGAACAAAGGAUGGGCAAGAGGCUGUCCUGGCGAGUCGGGGCAGGGCGGGCCUCAGGAAGUAUCCUACUGGGACACAGGGCUGGGGUCUGGGGGUGGGUGGCCAUUCCUGGGCCUGUCAGCACCACGGCCAGCUCCCGGCGCAGGAGCCCUGGAGAAAGGGGCAGGGCACAGCCUGAGAGCGUAGUGAUGUCAGUCGCCAUGGGAACUGACAACUGCAAUGUGCCUCCGUCAGCACUCCAACCACUGGGGAUGGCAUGACAGAUUAAGCACCAACUAUGUGCCAGGCCAGGCCCUGUGCUAGAUGCUGGGGUAGUGACAGACCCUGAGUGGAUGGGAGGCAUCAGAGGGGUAAUCACAAGGCAGGGAGACAAGCGGUGGCCAUGAUGGGGUCACCCUACCUGGCCUGGUGGUGGGAGGGUCAAGAUGGAAGGACACACCAGCUGCCUCAGACAGUGUCUGUCCCCAACUUCACAUCCGGAUGUGUGAGCUUUAUAACUUAACUCUGUGAGCUUGGGCAAAUCCCUCCCUCCUCUCUGAGCCGCAGUUUCCGCAUCUGCAAAAUGGGGUUAAUUCCUUACAACAAAGUGCCAGGGUCCUUGUGGUAGCUGCCUAAGUGGUACCCGUUGUUAGCACUGUUUACAGUUGUUAUUAACAGGUAAGCAGGAAAAAGCCAGCGAAAGGGGAGGAUUCCACAGAAGGGACUGCACAGGCCACCACAUGGAGACUUGAGAGAGGAGCAAAUAGAGAACAUGAAGGAGCUCCAGGCUGCUGGAGAGCAAACCCUCCUGGUGAGUCAUUGAGAGCACCUCAUCUAUGCAGGGCCAGGCAGGGACCCCCCACCAACCUCACGGCGGGGAGAUCUGUUUCCUCUGCACUAGUGCUGGUUCAGGACAGGGACUCAGAGAAGGUGCUGGGAGAAGGGGCAGUCAUUGCCACUGGCAACGGGCCUGGCUGGCCCUCUCCCAGAGCCACAGACCUCUGAGGGGCAGUUUUACUCUUUCCGGAGAGCCAGAGAUCCCAAGGUGCGAAGUUUGGAGCAGGGGCAGGCUGAGCCUCUGUUCUCCCAGUUCCAGCCUUGGCUCUUUAAUUAAAAUUGUCAGUCAAGUAAGACUCCAUCGUCACCUUCCAGCAAAGAGGGAGUGGGGAGAUCUGAGAAUUGAUACUGAACAGCUUCAGUACUACGAUGCCAUAAUGGGGCUGGGAGCUCAGCCGAAAGCCCCCCGCCCAGUUUUUUUUUUUAGAGGUGGUCCUAGAAUCUCUCUGGAGAAAAACAUGGAAAUGGAGACCAAAAGAGGGAAGGAGGGAUGCCACCAGAUGACACUGGGAUCCCGGAAAAUGGAACACUGUGUGCAACGGGCAAAGAACUUUUCAAAAGGGAUUUCAACCUCUGACCACCUGGAGACAGGAGACUGGCGCUCAUUGUAAAUGCACUGACAUGACAGGGAACAGCUGCUGGGGAGGUGGAGACGGGUCGUGGGGAGAGACAGGAAGCCCCAGCGGCUUGGAAAUCCAGGAGCCAAGGAAGCAGUGAGCUUUCUGCAGAGCCAGAUCCGGUGAAGCCAAUUCACCAGCAGGUCCCGGCAGUGACUCUUCUACAACAGAUUCCUGCCCGUCCCUGUGCCCCAUCGUUCCCCUGCCACCAAUCUCUACCCCAUGGGAGCCAGACCAAGCCUUUCUGUGUGUAGCACACAUCUCUCCUGCUUAGAGCUCACUUACUGGCUUCCGUGGCAUUUUGUUUCUUUUUUAGAGAUGGGGUCUUGCCCUGUCACCCAGGCUGGGGUACGGUGGCAUGAUCAUGGCUCACUGCAGCUCACUCCUGGGCUCAAGUGAUCCUCCUGCCUCAGCCUCUCAAGCAGCUGGGACUACAGUCUGGCACCACCCCACCCAGCUCAUUAUUUUUUGUAGACAUGGGAUCUUGCUAUGUUGCCCAAGCUGGUCUCGAAUUCCUGGCCUCAAGCAAUCUUCUUACCCCAGCCUCCCUAAGUGCUGGAAUUAUAGGUAUGAGCCAUUCCGCCAGUCUUCCGUGGCAUUUCUAACAACAUCCUUGAAGGACCUGUGUGAAUCCCUUUCCCGAUGUGUAUCUGCACUGUCCCUGUCCCGUGCUGAUUCUGCUCAGACACACUGGCUUUCUUUCUGGUCCUCUCACAGGCCAACACCGGCCCCAUGCCAGGGCCUUUGCACUUACGGUUUUCCCUCUACCUAAAUACCCUACACCACUGCUGUCUGAUAGAAAUAUGUAAUAACAGGAGCCUCAUAUGUACUUGUAAAUUUUCUAGCAGUAACAGAGGAAAUUAAAUUUAAUAAUAUAUUUUAUUUCACCCAAUAGAUCCAAAAUAGUAUCACUUCAAUGUGUAAUCGAUAUUAAAAUUAAUUCCUGAGA